rnacentral:rRNA from 1 species
ACCCAGACCGCCAGCUAAGGUCCCAAAGUCAUGGUUAAGUGGGAAACGAUGUGGGAAGGCCCAGACAGCCAGGAUGUUGGCUUAGAAGCAGCCAUCAUUUAAAGAAAGCGUAAUAGCUCACUGGUCGAGUCGGCCUGCGCGGAAGAUGUAACGGGGCUAAACCAUGCACCGAAGCUGCGGCAGCGAACGUAUCACUUAAAGCGAUUCAGCGGGUUACGAUUGACGGAGCGAAGCGACGUCAAAGCGUAUACAAAGUCGAGUCGGUUUAAGGAUACGUUCGUUGGGUAGGGGAGCGUUCUGUAAGCCCGUGAAGGUGGCCUGUGAGGGUUGCUGGAGGUAUCAGAAGUGCGAAUGCUGACAUAAGUAACGAUAAAGCGGGUGAAAAGCCCGCUCGCCGGAAGACCAAGGGUUCCUGUCCAACGUUAAUCGGGGCAGGGUGAGUCGACCCCUAAGGCGAGGCCGAAAGGCGUAGUCGAUGGGAAACGGGUUAAUAUUCCCGUACUUGGUGUUACUGCGAAGGGGGGACGGAGAAGGCUAUGUUGGCCGGGCGACGGUUGUCCCGGUUUAAGCGUGUAGGUGUGUGUUCCAGGUAAAUCCGGUUCACUUUAACACUGAGGCGUGAUGACGAGGCACUACGGUGCUGAAGCAACAAAUGCCCUGCUUCCAGGAAAAGCCUCUAAGCAUCAGGUAACAUCAAAUCGUACCCCAAACCGACACAGGUGGUCAGGUAGAGAAUACCAAGGCGCUUGAGAGAACUCGGGUGAAGGAACUAGGCAAAAUGGUGCCGUAACUUCGGGAGAAGGCACGCUGACACGUAGGUGAAGUGAUUUACUCACGGAGCUGAAGUCAGUCGAAGAUACCAGCUGGCUGCAACUGUUUAUUAAAAACACAGCACUGUGCAAACACGAAAGUGGACGUAUACGGUGUGACGCCUGCCCGGUGCCGGAAGGUUAAUUGAUGGGGUCAGCGUAAGCGAAGCUCCUGAUCGAAGCCCCGGUAAACGGCGGCCGUAACUAUAACGGUCCUAAGGUAGCGAAAUUCCUUGUCGGGUAAGUUCCGACCUGCACGAAUGGCGUAAUGAUGGCCAGGCUGUCUCCACCCGAGACUCAGUGAAAUUGAACUCGCUGUGAAGAUGCAGUGUACCCGCGGCAAGACGGAAAGACCCCGUGAACCUUUACUAUAGCUUGACACUGAACAUUGAGCCUUGAUGUGUAGGAU